rnacentral:rRNA from 1 species
UACGAAGGGGGCUAGCGUUGUCCGGAAUUAUUGGGCGUAAAGAGCUCGUAGGCGGUUUGUCGCGUCUGCUGUGAAAACUGGAGGCUCAACCUCCCAGCCUGCAGUGGGUACGGGCAAACUAGAGUGCGGUAGGGGAGAUUGGAAUCCUGGUGUAGCGGUGGAAUGCGCAGAUAUCAGGAGGAACACCGGUGGCGAAGGCGGGUCUCUGGGCCGUAACUGACGCUGAGGAGCGAAAGCGUGGGGAGCAAACAGG